rnacentral:tRNA from 1 species
GUUAAGGUGGCAGAGCCCGAUAACUGCCUAAAACUUAAGAUUUUACAAUCAAAGGUUCAAUUCCUCUCCUUAACA